CAAGGAAGGCAGCAGGCGCGCAAAUUACCCACUCCCGGCACGGGGAGGUAGUGACGAAAAAUAACGAUACGGGACUCAUCCGAGGCCCCGUAAUCGGAAUGAGUACACUCUAAACCCUUUAACGAGGAUCAAUUGGAGGGCAAGUCUGGUGCCAGCAGCCGCGGUAAUUCCAGCUCCAAUAGCGUAUAUUAAAGUUGUUGCGGUUAAAAAGCUCGUAGUCGAAUCUGUGUCCCGCGCCGCCGGUUCAUCGUUCGCGGUGUUAACUGGCGUGCCGCGGGACGUCCUGCCGGUGGGCUUAGCUCGAGAGGGCGGCCCAACUCAAUCCCGCCGCGGUGCUCUUCAUUGAGUGUCGAGGUGGGCCGGCACGUUUACUUUGAACAAAUUAGAGUGCUUAAAGCAGGCUAAAACUUCGCCUGAAUACUGUGUGCAUGGAAUAAUGGAAUAGGACCUCGGUUCUAUUUUGUUGGUUUUCGGAACCCCGAGGUAAUGAUUAAUAGGAACGGAUGGGGGCAUUCGUAUUGCGACGUUAGAGGUGAAAUUCUUGGAUCGUCGCAAGACGGACAGAAGCGAAAGCAUUUGCCAAAAACGCUUUCAUUGAUCAAGAACGAAAGUUAGAGGUUCGAAGGCGAUCAGAUACCGCCCUAGUUCUAACCAUAAACGAUGCCAGCUAGCGAUCCGCCGACGUUCCUCCGAUGACUCGGCGGGCAGCUUCCGGGAAACCAAAGCUUUUGGGUUCCGGGGGAAGUAUGGUUGCAAAGCUGAAACUUAAAGGAAUUGACGGAAGGGCACCACCAGGAGUGRAGCCUGCGGCUUAAUUUGACUCAACACGGGAAACCUCACCAGGCYCGGACACCGGAAGGAUUGACAGAUUGAGAGCUCUUUCUUGAUUCGGUGGGUGGUGUUGCAUGGCCGUUCUUAGUUGGUGGAGCGAUUUGUCUGGU
rnacentral:rRNA from 1 species